CAAUUUUUAUUGAUUGUGCCGAUUAUUCUCGUAUUUAAAUACAAACCUAGGGCUUAGGGUUAGUGUUAAUAUCAUUUUUCUUAUUGUUAUUGCAGAUUAAUUAAUUGGGAGGAGACUGUUCUUUGCACACAGGAUGUGGUCAGACUCGUAGAAAUACAUUUGAUUUACAGAUAAGUUGUUUCUAAUCCUAAAAGCCUAGGUUUAGCUAUCAUAUGAAUUAUUAUAUGCAUAAAGUUAACUGUAAUCAGUGUAGUUAAGUGUUUAGUUUCGGGAAAUACCUUUGUUUUGAUGACCAUGCUUCCUCUUUGCUCCAAUGGUGUAUGAAGAUGUGAUCUUCCUCAUGGUUUGUGAUUUUGGUAGGAUGAGUUCUUUGUCUUAAAGAAGAAUCAGAAGAAUAGUGGUAAAUUCAAUAAUGUUGUGAAGGUUGUCUUAUUUAUUGAGUCAUUUCUUUGGCUUGUCUUGAAAAAAACAUCUAAUUGACUUAAUUAUUCAUGUUUUCAAGCACAUAGAGAAGCUGAAAAGUUUAUGUGUGCUGUUAACCUUUCCCAUUAUUAAACCACAAAAUAUCUUGUGGUUAAUCAUAAAUAGUUGACACCUAGCAUAGAUUGUAAUAUAUACAUUUUUCUGAUUAAUAUGUUUUUAUAUAUUUUGGGAGUGAACAUUCUGGUAUACCUUAAAUCUAUGGGCGACAUACUUUGCCUAACAAAUCUGUUUGAUAUUACAGGAACAACUAUAACGCACGAGAAAGCUCUGUUAGUGAGAAUUUGUGUAUUUCAAAAUUGGAAGUUCAACACUGAUAGAAUUAUGUUAAUGUGAACUCAUUGACAUCAUAUUACAUUGUAAGUAUUCCCCUAUAUGCUAACUUGGACUUUGCAGUUGAAUCCCAUGAUUGUCUAAUAAUUCUUUCGAUUGAGCUUGAGUCA